rnacentral:tRNA from 1 species
UGCGGGGUCGUCUAAUGGUAGGACACGAGACUUUGAAUCUCGGUAUGAAGGUCCGAUUCCUUCCCCCGCAG